GCUGAAAGCGAAAGUAAACCAGUCCGACAUUUUGUUGUGAAUCUGUUCAACAUUUCAGACGUGAAAUGGCGUUAAUGUGCUGAAACUUGCUGCUGUUUCUGUAACUGAAGUUGGGAGAUUUAUAUCGCGGUUCAGAAGCUGAUCUCAGACCUGCUGCAGUCCAGCACCGUUUCUACUGCUACUACUGCAGUCAUGUCUGACCCCAGUGACGUUCAGAUCACCUUAAUAGGAAAAACUGGUGUUGGAAAAAGUUCUGUGGGAAACACCAUCCUCGGUGUGGACAGAUUCGCUCGAGGUUUUGGCUCUUCAUCAGUUACCAGACCAUGUCAGAUGGAGAGAGCUGUGAUUGGACACAGGAGAGUGACCGUUGUUCUACACAUGAAGAAGAUCUUGUCAGUGAGAUAGACCAUAGUGUGACAUUACCUUCUCCAGGAGUUCAUGUGUUUCUCUAUGUGUUAAAACCCACCACAUUUACACAGCAGGAGGCAGAAACAGUGUCACAGUUUAAACAGACCUAUGGAGAGGAAGUGUUUAGAUACACAAUAGUCCUGUUCACACAUGGAGAUCAGAUUCAACAUGAAGACAUGAGUAGGUUAAUCUCACAGAAUGAGCUCUUGAUGAAUUUAGUGAGAGACUGUGGUGGGAGAUUUACUGUGUUAAACAAUGACGCUCCAGCAGACAGAGAACAGGUUUAUUAUCUACUGGAUAUUAUAGACAGAAUUGUGUCUGAUCAGGAGAACCGCUUCUACACGCUGGAGAUGCUGCAGGAGGCAUCGAGGAGAGCUGAAGAACAGAUAAGUUUAGAACAACAGCGCAGUCAGGAAGAAAGUGCUAGAAUAACUUACCAAAUGGAAUUAGAGAGAGUAUGAACGGAACUGUUAAAGGCAAAAGCAGCAAAUGAAGAAGCAUCUAAGUACAGUAGUGAAGAUGAGAACACCAUGGAGGAUGGAGAGCAGGGGCUUAGCAAGAAACUAUCUGACCUAAAAAAUACAAUUAAUGUACAGUUUGUUAAUCAGCUGAAAUAUUUGUGUGUAAUUGCAGUUUUCUCUCUAUCUAUGGGAUUUGUGUUCAGCAGAGGCUCUGCAGACAGAUGGAUGUUUGUACAUGGCUGUGGUUUGGGAGGGUCAGCAGCAGCUUUGGGACUGAUUACAGGAAAGCUCUGGGGUCUGAUAUGGAGAAGUCAGUUAAAGAUGUCUUGCUCAUCACCUCAAGAGCGUCCUAAAGUUUUCUAUCAGUGCUUGAAAAAAAGGCUUUGUUGUCGUCUGUGGUGGUUUAUUUGGGUCAUCUGUAGGCUUCGCUGUUUCAGACCAGACACCAGUGAUACUGUUAGCAGCGCUAGCUGGAGCUGUUGGAGCUUACACUGCAAUGCACAGGGGACAGUAAACAUUAUACUGAAUAUGAAUCUACACUAGCAGUAUAAAGGUGAGACGUGUUGUGACUGUGAGAUCUGUGAGGUUCAGUCACUAAUCACUAUAAAACAUCUACAGAAAUCUACUGAACACUUUCACGUCAUCUGUAUAGAAUUGUUCUAGACAUACAAAAGCACUCAGUAUCCCUCUCCCUGAUUAUAUUAGUGAUUAUUAUACCUACCUGUGGUGAUGUACUUGUUUUAUGUCAGUAAUAUGAUGUGUUUGAUGCAGUCGUCACUCUUCUCUUUGUUAUUUUGUCAUUACCUCAUGGAUAAGCUGGUGAGGGUUCAGUAGGAAGAAACAUAUCCAUGGCAAUAUCCACAGCCUAGAAGAGCUGGUGUGAACAUUCAUGAAGUUCAAUAUCAAUAAAUUCAGCUGUUAUUUUUCUC